rnacentral:rRNA from 1 species
CCGUAGCCCAAGAGAUCGGGAUAACACCUGGAAACAGAUGCUAAUACCGGAUAACAAUAGAUGAUGCCUAUCAACUGUUUAAAAGAUGGUUCUGCUAUCACUCUUGGAUGGACCUGCGGUGCAUUAGCUAGUUGGUAGGGUAACGGCCUACCAAGGCGAUGAUGCAUAGCCGAGUUGAGAGACUGAUCGGCCACAUUGGGACUGAGACACGGCCCAAACUCCUACGGGAGGCAGCAGCG